rnacentral:rRNA from 1 species
GACGAACGCUGGCGGCGUGCUUAACACAUGCAAGUCGAACGCGCCUGUCCUCUGGGUUUCUGGGGGGUGGGUGAGUGGCGAACGGGUGAGUAACACGUGAGUAACCUGCCCCCUUCUUCGGGAUAACGGUCUGAAAGGGCUGCUAAUAUCGGGUAUUCACUGGUCUCCGCAUGGGGUCUGGUGGAAAGGUUUUUUUCUGGUGGGGGAUGGGCUCGCGGCCUAUCAGCUUGUUGGUGGGGUGAUGGCCCACCAAGGCUUUGACGGGUAGCCGGCCUGAGAGGGUGGCCGGUCACAUUGGGACUGAGAUACGGCCCAGACUCCUACGGGAGGCAGCAGUGGGGAAUAUUGCACAAUGGGCGCAAGCCUGAUGCAGCGACGCCGCGUGAGGGAUGGAGGCCUUCGGGUUGUGAACCUCUUUCGCCCGUGGUCAAGCCGCGACGUGGGUCGUGGUGAGGGUAGUGGGUAAAGAAGCGCCGGCUAACUACGUG